CCUGGUUGAUCCUGCCAGUAAUCAUAUGCUUGUCUCAAAGAUUAAGCCAUGCAUGUCUAAGUACAUGCCGAAAUAAGGCGAAACCGCGAAUGGCUCAUUAAAUCAGUUAUGGUUCCUUAGAUCGUUUCUUCCUACUUGGAUAACUGUGGCAAUUCUAGAGCUAAUACAUGCAGUGAGCCUGGAGCCCUUUGGGUAACGGCGUGCUUUAAUUUAGACCAAAGAUCGAUCGGUUUCGGCCUGUAUUGUGUGUGGUGACUCUGGAUAACUUUGUGCUGAUCGCAUGGCCACGAGCCGGCGACGUUUCUUUCAAGUGUCUGCCUUAUCAACUUUCGAUGGUAGGUUACUUGCUUAGCCAAGUUGUUACGGUUGUUACGGGUAACGGAGAAUCAGGGUUCGAUUCCGGAGAGGGAGCCUGAGAAACGGCUACCACAUCCAAGGAAGGCAGCAGGCGCGCAAAUUACCCACUCCCGGCACGGGGAGGUAGUGACGAAAAAUAACAAUACGGGACUCUUUUGAGGCCCCGUAAUUGAAAUGACUACACUCUAAAUCCUUUAACGAGGAUCAAUUGGAGGGCAAGUCUGGUGCCAGCAGCCGCGGUAAUUCCAGCUCCAAUAGCGUAUACUAAAGCUGCUGCGGUUAAAAAGCUCGUAGUUGGAUCUCAGUUCCAGACGAGUAGUGCAUCUACCCGAUGCGACGGCUCGGACUGAACAUCAUGCCGGUUCUUUCUUGGUGCACUUCAUUGUGUGCCUCGAGAUGGCCGGUGCUUUUACUUUGAAAAAAUUAGAGUGCUCAACGCAGGCGAGUCGCCUGAAUAAACUUGCAUGGAAUAAUAGAACAAGACCUCGUUUCUGUUCUGUUGGUUUUUGGAAUACUAGGUAAUGAUUAAGAGGGACGGACGGGGGCAUUCGUAUUGCGGCGCUAGAGGUGAAAUUCUUGGACCGUCGCAAGACGAACUACUGCGAAAGCAUUUGCCAAGAAUGUUUUCAUUGAUCAAGAACGAAAGUCAGAGGUUCGAAGGCGAUCAGAUACCGCCCUAGUUCUGACCAUAAACGAUGCCAACCAGCGAUCCGCCUGAGUUACUCAAAUGACUCGGCGGGCAGCUUCCGGGAAACCAAAGUAUUUGGGUUCCGGGGGAAGUAUGGUUGCAAAGCUGAAACUUAAAGGAAUUGACGGAAGGGCACCACCAGGAGUGGAGCCUGCGGCUUAAUUUGACUCAACACGGGAAAACUUACCCGGCCCGGACACUGGGAGGAUUGACAGAUUGAGAGCUCUUUCUUGAUUCGGUGGAUGGUGGUGCAUGGCCGUUCUUAGUUGGUGGAGCGAUUUGUCUGGUUAAUUCCGAUAACGAACGAGACUCUAGCCUAUUAAAUAGGUGCGGGGUUCCCAGCACCUUACAACCUUCUUAGAGGGACAAGCGGCUCCUAGCCGCACGAAACAGAGCAAUAACAGGUCUGUGAUGCCCUUAGAUGUCCGGGGCCGCACGCGCGCUACACUGAAGG
rnacentral:rRNA from 1 species